rnacentral:rRNA from 1 species
AGGACGACGCUGGCGGUGUGCUUCACACAUGCAAGUCGAACGAGGUAGCAAUACCGUAGUGGCGGACGGGUGAGUAACGCGUGGGAAUCUGCCUUUAGAUGGGGGAUAACGGGUCGAAAGACUCGCUAAUACCGCAUAUGACGAAAGUUGAAAGGAGUAAUCCGUCUAAAGAUGAGCCCGCGUCCGAUUAGCUAGUUGGUAGAGUAAAAGCCUACCAAGGCGACGAUCGGUAGCUGGUCUGAGAGGAUGAUCAGCCACAAUGGGACUGAGACACGGCCCAUACUCCUACGGGAGGCAGCAGUGGGGAAUUUUACGCAAUGGGCGAAAGCCUGACGUAGCGACACCGCGUGAGCGAAGAAGCCCCUUGGGGUGUAAAGCUCUGUCAGCUGGAACGAAAAAAAUGACGGUACCAGCAGAGGAAGCAUCGGCUAACUACGUG